AAGCAUAAAAUUUGAACUCAUACAAAAAGAGAAGUGAGAAAAGGCAUAACUAAAGACCAGUUACUCUGUUAAGGAGACAGAGAGAGAAAGAGGAGAAGGAGGGUAUGAAAAAAAAGGAAAAAGAAAAGUUAUGGUUUAUGUAUCUCUAAAAGAUAUAUAUCUAUGGAUAUGAGGGAGCACAGGCUAUGCAAGCAAGCAAUAGAAUAGCAAAGGAAACACCAUCCUCUUCAAGAUUGGAGCUGCUCCUCUUGAACUUGCUAGCUUUUCCUUUGUUGCAGUAUUGUAUCUGGAGCUUCUGCAUCUGCUGCUACUGCUGCUGAUGCUGAUAUUAAUCUCACCCACUCUUCUUCAUGGCCUCAUCCACCUUAGAAACCAUUUUCUUUUUCCCUCUUUUUUCUUCUCAAAGUCUUUUGGAAACUCUGUAUAUAAGAGUACUAAAGCACAGAGAGAGAGUAGAGAUUGUGCAUGGGGAACAUCAAUACAUGCAUCUCCUCAUUUUAUAGCCCAUAGUCCUACUAAAACGCCCUUAGUUUCUACCCAAAAUAUCACUAAAUUUAUAUUAGGAUCCAGUACUUAGAAUAAGAAUCUUAUAAAAGUAAUCUUAUAAAUUUAAUAUGGAAUAUUGAUGGCAUGGUGAGGUGAGCUAUGGUGCCUUAAUUGAGAAUGUCUGUUACCACCAGCCUCCAGCAACAAUGACCCAAUCUAUAGGGAUUUGUGACCAAAUUAGGGUCUCACCCAUAGGUUGAAGAAUUCUAUCGACUUAGGCACGGACUCAAUAUCCUCUUGAUGUUGAGAAUCCAUGCAAUAUAGUAAUUUGGUGAAUCAUAAUGAUUGAUAACUUUACAUCAUAAUUCAUCAUAGGUCUUGUCUAGUGUGCAUCAUACACACUAGUGCACUUACUAUGGUAAAACCAUCUCGAUGACUAAGAUAAGGCAUCCCUUUAAUUAAGAAAUAGUGCACUACAAUCUCAAAUUGAUUGCCUAAAUCCAUGAACCAACUAUGGACAACUCAUCACUUUGCAAGGAACCCAUGACUUGGAUCCUCUGUGCAACUCCUAACGUACCUAAGUCAUGCACAAUGCAAGUGAUGUAAGUAUGUAUGCUCAAAUAACCAAUUAAUACAAAUGAGAUUAUAUAAGGAAACCAAGAAGCAUAAAUAAAUAAAUUUAUAAAUAAAUCUCAAUCUAUUAUAUCAUGUCAUACUCUCCAAGGCUCAAUCCGAACACUUGAUCCCCACAAAUUAUCCAAGUUGCACAUACUAAAUGAUAAAUUUGAAAGUAUUAAAAUGAAUAAAGAUAAGCCUUUCUCUAAGUCCUACACUAAAUGCAAUCAUAUUUUAAUUCUUACUUUAAAUUAGGAAAAAAAGAUUCUUAAGUCCAAAGUGGUCCAAAAGAUAUUUAGGUAUUUCCUAGAGAGAUUUAGGUGUAAGGUGACCACCAUUGAGAAGAGUAAAAAUAUUGACAUAAUGUGAAUAGAUGAGUUAAUAGGUUCCCUACAAGCCUAUGAGAUAACUCUUCUAUCCUCCAUAAAACUUAGAGGGGUAGCCAUAAAGACCUCUAAAAAGAAUGAAUCUAAAGAUGAGAGUGAACUAGUUCUUACUCCUUCUGAAAUUUCAAUGUUCACUAAGAAAUUAAAAAAUUACAUGAAAUUACAAAAGAAAGCUAACUUAAAAGAACACUAAAAAAAGAAAGAAAAAUCUCUCUAAGAACAAAAAUGAAAAUAAAGGCUCAUUUAUCCUCAAGUUGAAUGUUAUAAUUGUAGAGGAAAUGACACAUCGAUGUUGAUUGCCCUAACCCUAAAAAAAACAAGAAGGCAAUGAAAAGCAUGUUGGUGGAAAUUUUAUAAAUCAAGAACCUAAGAGAGCAACAUAAUUUUUAGAAUUUGUGGCAAAUAAUCAAGGUCCUAGGAUAUCCUUGUUCCUCAACUAAACUCUUUUGCUCCAUUACAACAAAACUUCACUACUAGUGAGGAUAUUUUGAAACUGAAAGCAGAAAUAGAUUUACAACCCAAAUGUGAUGUGUUGACAAGGAGAAUUGAGGAGUUGGGGAUGAAGAAUAACAGAGGGGUGAAGGCCACAAAUUAGGUGUGAAAUCAUGCAGCCAUAUGCAACUCACUUGAAAAUAUGAAUUUGAAACUUAACUUUUUCAAUAUUUUAAAAGAUCCCAAAAAGUAGGAUGUUAAAAAGAAAGAAAAAGAUAGAGAAAAUAUGGCAUUGCAUUCUCACUGAUAAUGAUGAAUAUUUAUAUACAAAAAAACAUUUGAUAAGCUCUAUUCUAAUUCAAACUCUAUCUCAUACUCUAAUUCAAACUAAUAAUAAAAAUUGAUUUUCUUAAAUAGAAAUUGUUUUUAUCCUAAAUCUCCAUCAACACUCUAUGAAAUCUUAUUAUUGGUUGUUGGUUUAAAUUCCCUUUAGAUUAGCUUGAAUUCUAAUUUUGAUACAAGAUACCAUUCUUUUAGUCAUUCAUUUUGUUGAUGAUAUUUUUAUUAAGUUGGUUGAUUGCGUGUUACACUUUAUCAUUUUUUAAUUCUUCAUAUCCAUUAUUCUUCUCUUUUGCUUCCGACCAAUAUUGAUUCCAUUAAUUUAACCUCUACCUCUUUAUCACCUUCAACUCUACCUUUCUCUCUCUCUAAAAGCUUCCUCAAGGGUUAAUCGAAAACCUUAGUUCUUUUUACUUUUACUCAUUCUUCCAGUAAAUUUACAUUAUUUUCUCAACACUCAUCAUGAGUUUUUCAAAAUCAUUUUUUAUUGGUUUUUUUUUUUUCAUUUCUCAAGAUUUUUUUUCUUGUUCUUUUUUCUAGUUUUCUUGCCAACCAAACAACUAGUCUAAUGUAUUUUCUCCUUGAUUUCUCUAUAUUCUUCUUUCUCUUGAUGGUAUUAGCUAGAGUCUACCUUUAUAUCAACAUAGAGCGAAUUUAGGCUACAAGGCUAGGGCCUUGCACCGUCCCCUCCCACUACAAAUGGUAGUGGUCUUGUUGUGCCUAAUAUUGGUAAGGAUACUAUGCCCCCACCCCCACGCCCCCACCUGCCACCAAAUGGGCUUCCUCAUCAUUUGCACUGCAAUCUUUGCUUUGAGCCCUACCUGGUGUAUCAAUGCCUCCUUCCCUAUGGCCUCUAAUGCAAUAUCUUGGUUUCAAUACCUAUAUACAACCAAGAGUUUCAAAUUUGCCUCGUUCAAACCUACCAAAAUUUUCUUCUUAUAAUCUUAAAGUAAUUCUUGACUAUACUAAUUUUCCUUUCAAAGUCAUUUUUAUUGGUCACUAAUCACUAUUCUUUCUUUCAUUGGUUUUUUUUUCAAUUUUAAGGCUUAUAUGUUGUAAGUUGUGUGGUUUGAUCCUUCUCUCUCUAUUUUCUUUUAGAGAAAACAUGGCACUGCAUUCUUAUUGACGGUGAUGAAUAUUUAUAUCAAAAUAACAUUCGAGUUCUACUAUAAUUCAAACUCUAUCUUCUAUUCUAAUUCAAAUUAAUAAUAAACUUCUACUCUAGUUCAAACUCUAUAUUCUACUAUAAUUCAAACUAACAAUAAAUAGACAAAUAUUAAUUUUUAAAUUAAAGACAAACAUUAACUUUCUCUAAUAGAUGCAGUGUCCCAUGAGGAAGUCAACUGAAAUUGUGGCAAGAGAUGAAAAUUUGAUUGUGGAUAUAUUUGACCUGAAUACAAACUUGGCUGUUUUGCAGAGUAUCUUUACCAGCCCAUGUUUGAAGCAUUAAGAAGGAAAUCAAAGUGGAAGAAUUAAUCCAAUUUACCUAUGGAAAGUCAGGAAGAAGAGCAAGACAAUCAGCUAGUCUGGGGGCUAGCACCAUAGUAGAGUAGGCUUACGAUUUUGAUUUUGGUUCAUUUUGAUUUCUAUCUUUACUUGAUUACCCUUUUAGUUGUUCAUUUGUUUUUCAUUUGGUUUUGAUUUUUCUGAUUGUGUGAACAAGUGUACAGGUAGAUUUGAAGAGAAUCUGUAGAUUCUGCAAACAAUUCAAAGAGCUCAAGCUAAGGAUGUGUAAUCAUCUUCAAAGAUGAUUAAGGGUAAUCAUGCCCAAGGGGAUGGAUUUGAAUGGGAGCUGAACAUAAUCGAAAUCAUUAAUAAGCAACUUGCAGUUCAGAUAAGCAUUACUGAUGUCUAGGAAAGAUCCCAGCGCAGUGAGAACUGAUUCAAGCUUCCCAUGUAUCAACUCUUAGCUUAAUUGAGGACCAAUGCAACUGUUCUAGGAUUGAUUAUGAAAUUAUGAAUGUUGAUUUGCUGGCAUUUGAGCACACAUGGUAUCUGAAAGUUUUUAAUGGUUUCAACAGAAGAAAAUAACUUUAAAGGAUCAUGAUUCAUGCCACAUAUUGGUUUUCAUUCUUUUCUCUCAUAUUCAAGUCAUGCCUCAAGAUUCAAUUUGAAAAGAACAGUGAAAUUCUGCUCUGCUACAACACCAUAAAUGAACUCAUUCCCAUCGGAUUAUAGCAUAUCCUCAGCAUACAUACAUGUUUUAUGGGUUGUUUUUCUUUGAAAUAGGGUAUCAGUUGACUCAGUUCAAGGGUGUUUGGCGUCCAAGAAAAGAUCUUACAGUAGAUAUUGGACGUAAAUUUUCUAAAGCUAAAUCAGACUCUUAGGAUAGCACAUGACAUUAAUGAAAAAUGUUAGUUCUAGGACCUGCAGACUAGAAAAUUGAAUAAUAAAAAAGUCCUAAAUGGAGGGGAUGUUUCGAAUAAGAAAUUUACAGUUUGUGUGAACAAGAACUGGAUCUUCUUGUGAUAUUGUUAUGCAAUACUAGAUAGCCAUUGACAUAUAAAGGAAAUAUACUUUUUAGGGAAUGUUUAUAUUUGUCAAUGACCCCUGAAUUAUACAUUUCCCAUUGUGAUUAUGAUUUGCCAUCAAUCAGUUCCUUCAGGCCCAUGCCUUAAUCUCGUAGCAAAUUCUGAUAUGGUCCAAUAACAUGAAUGAGCUUCAAUACAGCAUUGUAGGGUACUGCCUUAAUUUGAUCAACCCUAUGGAGUGAUACAAAAUUCUUUGGACAUCCACAUGAAAUCCCAGGUAAAAUACAAAUGAAAAAUCCAAUCUCUGUGGGAAAUUCAUAUACCCCAACUACUCAUUUCAUUGUGUUGUGCCUGUCCUUGUUUACAAUCUUAUUAUCCAUUAGUACAUUUCCUGGUGGAGGAGGACACAAUUCUACAGGGGCUACAGGCUUAUAGAGUGCAUGGCCCGGGUUUUUCGCAUUCGAUGCCUCAGUUAACAGCCACUCUUCGACCCCAUGUGUGUGUUACAGUAAACAGCCUGUGCUUCAUCAGAAGCCCCCAAUUAUUGGUUACAGAAGGGCUUUGUCAUCUGUUAUACAAGUAGUGUUUUUUGCUUUCUUGUCUCCAUUUUUUCAAGUUGUUUUCAAAGGAGGAAGAGGACACUGUAGCAUUGCCUUUGUGUUUCCCACAAAAUGGGUUCAGAAACCAUAAAUUUCUCAGGCUUCCUCUGUUUUCAUGAAAAUCUCCCAAGAGAAAUUGUAUUUCCAGUCAGCCUUCUACCAUUUUUAAGGGACACAACUUUCUUAGUUUCCGGUUUGUGGUUCAAUUUUUGCACACAAAUUCAGAGUACCCAAUUGACUUCCUCCCUUUUUUUCUCACAAAUUAUCCAUAAUAAGUAAGAAAAUCAGAAAUUAAUCCAAGAACAUGGAGAAAUUACAUGAGAUGAAAUCAAUAUGUAAGCAAUUAAUAAGCAUAAAAUUUGAACUCAUACAGAAAGAGAAGUGAGAAAAGGCAUAACUAAAGACCAGUUACUCUCUGUGAGAGAGACAGAGAGAGAAAGAGGAGGAGGAUAUGAAAAGAAAGGAAAAGGAAAAGUAAUGGUUUAUGCAUCUCUAAAACAUAUAUAGCUAUGGAUAUGAGGGAGCACAGGCUAUGCAAGCAAGCAAUAGAAUAGCAGAGGAAGCACCAUCCUCUUCAAGAUUGGAGCUGCUCCUCUUGAAUUUGCUAGCUUUUCCUUUGUUGCAGUACUGUAUCUGCAGCUUCUGCAUCUGCUGCUGCUGCUGAUGCUGAUAUAGCUCUUUGCCACUCUUCUUCAUGGCCUCAUCCACCUUAGAAACCAUUUUCUUUUUCUCUCUUUUUUCUUCUCAAAGUCUUUUGGAAACUCUGUAUAUAAGAGUACUAAAGCACAGAGAGAGAGGAGAGAUUGUGCAUGGGGAACAUCAAUACAUGCAUCUCCUCAUUUUAUAGCCCAUAGUCCUACCAAAAUACCCUUGGUUUCUGCCCAAAAUAUCACUCUAUUUUAUAUAAGGAUCCAGUACUUAGAAUAAGGAUUUUAAAAAUGUAAUCUUAUACAUUAAAUAUGGAAUAUGGAUGGCAUGGUGGGGUGAGGCCAUUAUAU
rnacentral:lncRNA from 1 species